AUGGAUACUUGAAUGAGCUGCGAUUAGUACUCCCUUGUGUGAGCUAAAGGGAUCCUAAUGUGAAGCUGCUUAACUGGAGGACUGAUUUGGAGGAAAGAGUUACAAAAUACACAUGGACUAAGAUGUUAACUGUCCUGUGCUAUCACCAGUGGGACCAUCAGUUGAUCUGCCACCUGUCUUCAGGAGUUUCGGCCCGCUUAUGAUCAAGACUCCCUCGAGGUGGUGGGCCAGCAGUGCUAAAGCACCACCUCCCACUGGUGAGCUUAAAAACUUGGCAUCUGCCUCUAUCAGAGUUGUUGGUCACUUCCAUCCAACAGAUAGUCUACUCUUCAGGUGUCUAUGCAACUACUGAAGGGUUUGCAUGAUAUGUAUACACUGUCCGGCUAUCUGCCCCUCUGGACAUACUUGGUCCACACCCAUGCUGAUCCUUUCUCUGCUGCCUCAGCUACAGCCCUGCUGGUUGACUUGAUCUCUCUUCUACUGAAGCCAAGGUCACGCAGCCACUUCUGGAGAGUGAACGCAAUAAACUAACGGCAGCCUACUUUAUUGUCUUUUGCACAUUGUUGGUUUGUCAGUCUUUGUUGUAUUCAGCUUUUCAUUGAUUCGAUUG